CAGGGAUUGGAGCAGCCCUCACAACAAGAACAGCAUUGGAGGGUUGGAGCAUCUCCUGAGAAGGGCAUAGAACAAAAAUCCUAUGAAGACCUGGACCAUAAAUCCCAUGAGGAACAGCUGAAGGUUUUCUUUUGACUGUUCCAGGAUCUAAGGGAGACAUCGGAAGCUGAAGAAAGGAAGCGACCUGUUCACAGGUUGACACCCUGCCAGCAAUCAUUACAAACCCUGAAAUUGGUAUUUUCACCCUCAUUUGGAUGAUCAGGAACAGAACAUUCUUGCUGAUUGAGUUGUCAAAAUCGAGGCUCAUCUGAUGGCUCCCAACAGACCUCUAUGAAAUUGGUGUACUCAAAUCAAUUGGCUUUGCUGGAGUUGAAAGAACUGGCUGUCAACCACAUAUGGUGCCCAUUUGUUCAUGUGGAUGGACUCCAGACAUUGCACCAGAGCUGUUAAAGCCAGAGCUCCUCCUCGCAGGUGGCACGAGAUUUCCAUGGGAAAGUCUUGCUGUCUUUUCCAUGACCACUAAAGUCUUGUUGUCUUUUCUUUGACCAUUUUUAUGACAGGCAGGUGGAGAAGAGGAAAGAUGCAGCUUAUUGAUGAAAUUUGAAGGAAAACCUAAAAAUCCUGUGUGUGUGUGUGCGUGAGUGUGUGAAUGUGAGGCCAGCUAUGUGGAACUUCUGUUGGUAUAUUCUAAAUGCACUUUAGUUAUGAUGGAAUAUAGGAAAGACCAAUAUUUUUGUCUCGUGUCACAAAAAAAAAAAUCAUCACGCUCAAAGAGUCACUAAAAUUAAUGAGUUUGAUGGGAUAGGCCUGUCACCACCUCUGAAUUCACAUUAACUUUCCAAUUUCUUUUAAUCUCUCCUUUCAAUUGGGCAUGAAAAAGUCUGUUAAAUUUAGUCUCAGCCUAAGAGCUUUUGGGUACUUUUUUGGUAUUCAAUUUUCAGGAAUACCUGAAGAUCUUUCUUUGAGUUAUUUGGAAAAAAAAUUAUUUUCCUCUUAUAUUCUGGUCAGAUAUUUCACAUUUUGGUUUCUUAAAAGUAGUUUGGGGUGGACUUGCCAAACUGUCUUAGUCUGUAGAGGUAAC